AAUAAGUGUAGUUUUGCACUAUUUACGUUCAACGUUUGACCGUUCGUCUUAUUUAAAAUUUUUUUAUGAUUAGUAUUUUUAUUGCAUUAGAUGAUAAAACAUGAAUAGUACUUUAUGUGUGACUAAAUAUUUUCAAUUUUUUCACAAAUUUUUUAAAUAAGACGGACGGUUAAACGUUCGGCACGGAUAUCCACGGCUGCACUUAUU
rfam:Oryza sativa Japonica Group DNA, chromosome 6, cultivar: Nipponbare, complete sequence.